rnacentral:lncRNA from 1 species
GUGGGGAUAACAAUGGGGAAGAAUACAGGAGGCCAGGAAGAAGGGGGAGGCUGGGGUGUUGGGAUAGGGCUCCGACAAGCAUUCGGUUGCAUCGAAGAAGAGGCAGGAGGCAAGGAAGAAUGGGGAGGGCUGCCCAGCAUGGGAUAGACGACAACCGAUCCAGUGCGGGGAUGUCGGAUCUGAGGAGGGGACGGCGGCCCGGGGUCUCGGGCAUGGCAAUGUGGCCUCUGACGAUGCGAAGGGUGAAAAUCAGGGAUGGAGG